rnacentral:rRNA from 1 species
GAUGAACGCUGGCGGCGUGCCUAAUACAUGCAAGUCGAGCGAACGGACGAGAAGCUUGCUUCUCUGAUGUUAGCGGCGGACGGGUGAGUAACACGUGGAUAACCUACCUAUAAGACUGGGAUAACUUCGGGAAACCGUAGCUAAUACCGGAUAAUAUUUUGAACCGCAUGGUUCAAAAGUGAAAGACGGUCUUGCUGUCACUUAUAGAUGGAUCCGCGCUGCAUUAGCUAGUUGGUAAGGUAACGGCUUACCAAGGCAACGAUGCAUAGCCGACCUGAGAGGGUGAUCGGCCACACUGGAACUGAGACACGGUCCAGACGCCUACGGGAGGCAGCAGUAGGGAAUCUUCCGCAAAGGGCGAAAGCCUGACGGAGCAACGCCGCGUGAGUGAUGAAGGUCUUCGGAUCGUAAAACUCUGUUAUUAGGGAAGAACAUAUGUGUAAGUAACUGUGCACAUCUUGACGGUACCUAAUCAGAAAGCCACGGCUAACUACGUG